rnacentral:rRNA from 1 species
UGAGACACGGUCCAGACUCCUACGGGAGGCAGCAGUGAGGAAUAUUGGUCAAUGGACGCAAGUCUGAACCAGCCAUGUCGCGUGCAGGAUGACUACCCUAUGGGUUGUAAACUGCUUUUAUAUUGGAAGAAUUGCGCUUACGAGUUAAGCGUUUGACGGUACAUUAUGAAUAAGGAUCGGCUAACUCCGUGCCAGCAGCCGCGGUAAUACGGAGGAUCCGAGCGUUAUCCGGAUUUAUUGGGUUUAAAGGGUGCGUAGGCGGAAAUGUAAGUCAGUGGUGAAAUCCUGCAGCUUAACUGUAGAAUAGCCGUUGAAACUGUGUUUCUUGAGUCCAGUUGAAGUAGGCGGAAUGUAGCAUGUAGCGGUGAAAUGCUUAGAUAUGCUACAGAACACCGAUAGCGAAGGCAGCUUACUAAACUGAAACUGACGCUCAUGCACGAAAGCGUGGGGAUCAAACAGGAUUAGAUACCCUGGUAGUCCACGCCCUAAACGAAGAUCACUCGUUGUUGGCAACUAUAUCGUCAGCGACUAAGCGAAAGCACUAAGUGAUCCACCUGGGGAGUACGAUCGCAAGGUUGAAACUCAAAGGAAUUGACGGGGGCCCGCACAAGCGGAGGAGCAUGUGGUUUAAUUCGAUGAUACGCGAGGAACCUUACCUGGGCUAGAACGCAGAACGACGUUUCGGGAAACCGGAAUUCUCUUCGGAGCGAUCUGCGAGGUGCUGCAUGGUUGUCGUCAGCUCGUGUCGUGAGAUGUUGGGUUAAGUCCCGCAACGAGCGCAACCCCUAUACUUAGUUGCUACCGGUAAAGCAGAGCACUCUAAGUAGACUGCCGGAGACAAUUCGGAGGAAGGUGGGGAUGACGUCAAAUCAUCAUGCCCCUUAUGUUCUGGGCAACACACGUGCCACAAUGGGUAAAACAACGGGAAGCAAGAUAGUGAUAUUAAGCAAAUCCCUAAAAAGUAUUCUCAGUUCGGAUUGUAGGCUGAAACUCGCCUACAUGAAGUCGGAGUUGCUAGUAAUCGCGAAUCAGCAUGUCGCGGUGAAUACGUUCCCGGGCCUUGUACACACCGCCCGUCAAG